GUUUGGGGUACGAUUUCGUGUUACCUGAUGCUUAGAGGCUUUUCCUGGAAGCAGGGCAUUUGUCACUUCAGCACCGUAGUGCCUCGUCAUCACGCCUCAGUGUUAAAGUGAACCGGAUUUACCUGGAACACACACCUACACGCUUAAACCGGGACUGGCUGGGGGUGAAAGGCCAAUCAAACCGGGAGAUAGCUGGUUCUCCCCGAAAGCUAUUUAGGUAGCGCCUCGUGAAUUCAUCUCCGGGGGUAGAGCACUGUUUCGGCUAGGGGGCCAUCCCGGCUUACCAACCCGAUGCAAACUACGAAUACCG
rnacentral:rRNA from 1 species